GCCUUCGUAGCUCAGGGGAUAGAGCACCGCUCUCCUAAAGCGGGUGUCGCAGGUUCGAAUCCUGCCGAGGGCAC
rnacentral:tRNA from 3 species